rnacentral:rRNA from 1 species
UUAGACGGUAGGGUAUUGGCCUACCGUGGCUAUGACGGGUAACGGGGAAUUAGGGUUCGAUUCCGGAGAGGGAGCCUGAGAAACGGCUACCACAUCUAAGGAAGGCAGCAGGCGCGCAAAUUACCCAAUCCUAAUACAGGGAGGUAGUGACAAGAAAUAACAAUACAGAGCCUUACGGUUUUGUAAUUGGAAUGAGUUAAGUAUAAACCCCUUAACAAGUAUCAAUUGGAGGGCAAGUCUGGUGCCAGCAGCCGCGGUAAUUCCAGCUCCAAUAGCGUAUAUUAAAGUUGUUGCAGUUAAAAAGCUCGUAGUUAAUUUUCUGUUAAUUUUUAUAUACAAUGCUACGGUAUUUAUAUAAUAUUAACAUAAUUCAUAUUACUUUUUAAGUAUAUGAAACUUUACUUUGAGAAAAUUAGAGUGCUUAAAGCAGGCUAUUGCCUUGAAUACUCCAGCAUGGAAUAAUAUUAAGGAUUUUUAUUCUUCUUAUUGGUUCUAGAAUAAAAAUAAUGAUUAAUAGGGACA